UAGGGAAUCUUCGGCAAUGGGGGGAACCCUGACCGAGCAACGCCGCGUGAGUGAAGAAGGUUUUCGGAUCGUAAAGCUCUGUUGUUAAGGAAGAACGAGUGUGAGAAUGGAAAGUUCAUACUGUGACGGUACUUAACCAGAAAGGGACGGCUAACUACGUGCCAGCAGCCGCGGUAAUACGUAGGUCCCGAGCGUUGUCCGGAUUUAUUGGGCGUAAAGCGAGCGCAGGCGGUUAGAUAAGUCUGAAGUUAAAGGCAGUGGCUCAACCAUUGUAGGCCUUGGAAACCGGUUAACUUGAGGGCAGAAGGGGAGAGGGGAAUUUCAUGGUGAGCGGGGAAAUGCGUAGAUAUAUUGAGGAACACCGGGGGCGAAAGCGGCUCUCUUGGCUGGAACCGACGCUGAGGCUCGAAAGCGGGGGUAGCAAACAGG
rnacentral:rRNA from 1 species